AAGAGAUGCUCGCGGUCGAUAGCCCGUCGGUAGGGUAAAGCCUACAAGGCGACGAUCAGUAUCUGGUUUGAGAGGACGAUCAGACACACUGGAACUGAGACACGGUCCAGACUCCUACGGGAGGCAGCAGUAGGGAAUUUUCCGCAAUGGGCGAAAGCCUGACGGAGCAAUACCGCGUGAGGGAUGACUGCCUAUGGGUUGUAAACCUCUUUUUUUCAGGGAGGAAUCAAUGACGUGUACCUGAAGAAUAAGCAUCGGCUAACUCCGUGCCAGCAGCCGCGGUAAGACGGAGGAUGCAAGUGUUAUCCGGAAUCACUGGGCGUAAAGCGUCUGUAGGUGGUUAAAUAAGUCAACUGUUAAAUCUUGGAGCUCAACUUCAAAAUCGCAGUCGAAACUAUUAGACUAGAGUAUAGUAGAGGUAAAGGGAAUUCUCCAGUGGAGCGGUGAAAUGCGUAGAGAUUGGAAAGAACACCGAUGGCGAAGGCACUUUACCGGGCUAUUACUGACACUCAGAGACGAAAGCUAGGGUAGCAAAUGGGGAUUAGAUACCCCAGUAGUCCUAGCCGUAAAC
rnacentral:rRNA from 1 species